GUGCUCGCUUCGGUAACACGUCUACUAAAAUUGGAGCGAUACAGAGAAGAUUCGCAUGGUUCCUGCAAAAGGAUGACACACAAAUUCAUGAAGCUUUCCAUAUUUAA
rnacentral:snRNA from 1 species